rnacentral:snRNA from 1 species
AUCUUUCUGCUUGGGGCAAUGACGCAGUUAGUGAGAUGAAACUGAGACGCGUGAAUUGCUGGUUGAAAACUAUUUCCAUUUCCAAUGAAAGCAAAAUUUUAGCGACUAAAAAACAUCUAGUUUUA